AGAUUGAAUGCUGGCGGCAGGCCUAACACAUGCAAGUCGAGCGGUAGAGAGGUGCUUGCAUCUCUUGAGAGCGGCGGACGGGUGAGUAAUGCCUAGGAAUCUGCCUAGUGGUGGGGGAUAACGUGCGGAAACGGACGCUAAUACCGCAUACGUCCUACGGGAGAAAGCGGGGGGACCUUCGGGCCUCGCGCCAUUAGAUGAGCCUAGGUCGGAUUAGCUAGUUGGUGAGGUAAUGGCUCACCAAGGCGACGAUCCGUAACUGGUCUGAGAGGAUGAUCAGUCACACUGGAACUGAGACACGGUCCAGACUCCUACGGGAGGCAGCAGUGGGGAAUAUUGGACAAUGGGCGAAAGCCUGAUCCAGCCAUGCCGCGUGUGUGAAGAAGGUCUUCGGAUUGUAAAGCACGUUUAAGUUGGGUAGGAAGGGUUUGUAACCUAAUACGUUGCAACUUUGACGUUACGACAGAAUAAGCACCGCUAACUUCGUGCCAGCACG
rnacentral:rRNA from 1 species